rnacentral:rRNA from 1 species
AUGGACCGGCCGACUACCGGCGGGCGGCGACAGGAGGCUCGCCCUUCUGAGAGGGAGAGAGAGAUGGAGGCGAGCAGCAGCCGGAGCCGGAGCGGAAGUCUCCCCUCGAAGCGGCGCAGCGGCGGCGGCGGCGGCGGUGGCGGGGGAAGCGGGUACGGGCUGACGGGGCAGUCGCUGAACGACGACACCCUCCGUUCCAUCUUCUCACGCGUGGACGACCACUUCGACCUCGCUCACUGCUCCGCCGUCUGCAAGUCAUGGCAUACGAUUAUCAGCACAGCCCAUGUGAUGAAGGAUCUAUAUUACAAGAGGAAUCCGCAGGCAAGAGGCUCGAGUUCUACUAUUUCAGUCAAAAGUUAUUUUGAGGCGCUUGCCAUGAAUGAGCACGCAUCAACUCUUGCUAGAGGGUCUGCUGAAGUUCAUCAGUGGAUUGGUCAUGAUAUGAGGGCCACCUUGUGCCGUAUGAAAAGCGGUUCAGUCUUAACUGGAAUGGGAGAUAAGGUUCUUCGACUUUGGUCUGCUGAAAGUUGCAAAUACAUGAAUGAGUACAAUGUCCCAAAUUCCAAAAUGUUGGUUGACUUCGAUUUUGAUGAAAAUAAGAUUGUAGGUUUAACUAGUUCCCAGGUUUGCAUAUGGAAACGCAGUGGACCAAGAAGUAUAUUUCAAUCUCGUGGAGACACAUUCAAUCAUGGGUUAUGCAUGAGUUAUGCCGAUCCAGAGGUUGUAAUUGGUUGUGAGGAUGGUAGAGCCUUUGUAUAUGACAUGUACAGCAGGAGUUGUUCGAGCAUUCACCGGCUUCACCCUUCCCCGGUGACAUGCUUGGCAGUAACAGAUGACCAGCUGAUCGUUGGUGGUUCUACAUUUGGAAAUGUAGCUAUUGCAGAUCAAACCUCAGGAGAGAGGUUAGGCCUUCUAAAGUCAGCUUUUGCACCAACAGUGAUAAGAUGCUUGUCUUUCAGUGCAAAUUCACACUUAAUAUUCGCGGGCUCAUCUUCUGGUUAUGCACAUUGCUGGGACUUAAGGACCCUGAGGCCUCUCUGGGAAACAAGAGUUAGCCCAAAUGUCAUCUACAGUGCACAUCAUUUGCCUGGUGACACUUCGAUGCUGGUGCUCGGUGGUAUUGAUGGAGUCCUACGCCUGGUAUGCCAGAGAACCGGUGAGACUAUUCGAAGCUUCAUCAUGGAUGCAGGCUACCCAGCACAGUCCAGCUCCAGGCCACAAGCUGAACAGAAGAAUGUCCGCCCAGCGGAAUCUGGCCCCAGGCAGCAAGUCGAAAAGAAGAGGGUCCGUGAAAUUGCUCCGGAUGCCCGGCUGGACAACAUUCCUAUGCACCUGCGCCCACCAAUCACCGGUCUGUCGGUCGGCAUGAAGAAGAUCGUGACCACGCACGGUGAAAACUACAUCCGCGUCUGGAAAUUUCACUCGUAG